CCGAGUACCGGGUCUUUCAGGCCCGCACUCCCACCCUUUGUGUACCUACCUUUUAUUCGGUUGCCUUGGCGGACCUCCGUCCGGGACCUUCACGGGUCUCUGGGCGUAGCCGCCAGGGGACCUCCAUUAAACUCUUGUUAACCGUGUCGUCUGAGAAAUACACAAAUAAGUUA
rnacentral:misc_RNA from 1 species